CCUACGGGGGGCAGCAGUGGGGAAUAUUGGACAAUGGGGGCAACCCUGAUCCAGCCAUGCCGCGGGUGUGAAGAAGGCCCUCGGGUUGUAAAGCACUUUCAGUGAGGAAGAACGCCUGGUGGUUAAUACCCAUCAGGAAAGACAUCACUCACAGAAGAAGCACCGGCUAACUCCGUGCCAGCAGCCGCGGUAAUACGGAGGGUGCGAGCGUUAAUCGGAAUUACUGGGCGUAAAGCGCGCGUAGGUGGCUUGAUAAGCCGGUUGUGAAAGCCCCGGGCUCAACCUGGGAACGGCAUCCGGAACUGUCAAGCUAGAGUGCAGGAGAGGAAGGUAGAAUUCCCGGUGUAGCGGUGAAAUGCGUAGAGAUCGGGAGGAAUACCAGUGGCGAAGGCGGCCUUCUGGACUGACACUGACACUGAGGUGCGAAAGCGUGGGUAGCAAACAGGAUUAGAUACCCUAGUAGUC
rnacentral:rRNA from 1 species